rfam:Dorea sp. 5-2 genomic scaffold acPFE-supercont1.34, whole genome shotgun sequence.
CCUGGUGGCGAUACGUCCGGGGGAAACACCCGUUCCCAUCCCGAACACGAUGGUUAAGUCCCGGACGGCCGAUGGUACUGCACUGGAGACGGUGUGGGAGAGCAGGCGGCUGCCAGGA